CAGGGGAUAGUUUAUUAAAAUAUUAAUUUUGGAGAUUAAAGAUAGGGGUUUCCUCUUUUCCUGA
rnacentral:tRNA from 1 species